rnacentral:misc_RNA from 1 species
UUUCCGUAGGUGAACCUGCGGAAGGAUCAUUAUUGUACUACCGAGGUGCGAGGGCUGUCGCUGACCCGAAAGGUCGUGCACGCCCGAGUGCCCUCACACACAUCCAUCUCACCCCUAUGUGCACCACCGCGUGGGUCCCCCUUUGGCUUGUUCGGAGGGGGGCUUACGUUUUCACACGAACUUUGUAUGCAGUGUAGAAUGUAUUUUUUGUUUUUGCGAUCACGCAAUCAAUACAACUUUCAACAACGGAUCUCUUGGCUCUCGCAUCGAUGAAGAACGCAAC